ACCUAAAUAACUUAUGUAGAGUGUAACACUGAAGAUGUUAAGGAAGUAUUUUUUACUUUUAGGUG
rnacentral:tRNA from 1 species